UGUAAAGAAAAAGUAAUAAAAGAUACAACAGAUACUCUCUCCAAGACACUGAAUAAUCACUUUUUUUUUUGCUAAAAAAUAAACUAAAAAAAGAGAAAGGAAAACGAAAGAAAAAAGACACCACUGUUCUUUUUCUUCAUUUCCUCAUCCACUGCAAACCGCCGGAAAUCCACAACCACCACCCUUCACUACUCCCUCGCCGGCGAACCCAACCACAAAACCAACGAUCCGUCUUCCAUCGCCGGUUAUCCAACAACAACAACCGCGAAACCCAUCACGAAACCGCCGUUUCCUCCUUCUCAACCACCUUCGUUUCCGCCUCUACAUCUCCGUCGCGUCUCCCUCCCUCGCCGCCGGAAACCACCCACAAACCCUUCACCCCUCCGCGUCCUCACAACCCAACGACCUCCGCCUACCAUAACCUCACCGCCUCACCUUUUCUCAUCCUCACGAAAUCUCCUUCUUCCGCCUUUCCACCAUGAUAAAACCUCUAUUUCACUACUACUCCCUCUGAUAUCACAAUUCCUCUGCCGCGAAUGUCGUUACCACCACUAGAGCUUCACUUCCGGCCAACCCAUGAUUCCACUGUUUUGUUCAUCAAAAUAAUCUCUAUAUUUUCGCUACGAAGAUUUGAAGAGUGGAGAUCCUUUUUUUGCACUGCACAAGAACCCGUUUCCGAUGUUGUUUUCAAUUUCGCCGGCAAACUCAGUAUCUCCCUUCCAAGCAGCAUAAUUCAACACUAGUUUUUCAGCAGUACAUGAGACGUUCACAGCAACAAUAACAUCACAACUCAUUUUCAAUUAACAUAAUGACAACAACUGCAACAACAUCUUCGUGUUCGAAGGAUUUUUGUGUCUACUGUAUUGGCUUACUGAAUAUUCCCGGAAGACUACCCAAUUCGGUGCAUAAUGUAGGAUUGCAGAGAUUUCGUUUUUCAUUCUAUGAUGGUUGUUUUCUUAUUAAUUCUGGUGUGUGUUUUGUUAGAUAAAUAACAAUUUGUCAUAAUAAUUUUUUUGGUUUUCUAUCAGGUUUAGUGUACUUCUAGUUGGGAUGUUAUGCCUUUUAAUAUUGGCUGUUUGAAUUUUGUGGUACUGAAUUUGUUGCUUUGAACACUGUAGAAAUGCAUACAUGUUGCUGCUAUUGGAUUUUAAAUGUAUAGAAAGUGAUCUUUUCUAAAUCAUACAUGUUGCUGCUGUUGGAUUUUUAA